rnacentral:rRNA from 1 species
AUUGAACGCUGGCGGCAUGCCUUACACAUGCAAGUCGAACGGCAGCACGGGAGCAAUCCUGGUGGCGAGUGGCGAACGGGUGAGUAAUAUAUCGGAACGUGCCCAGUCGUGGGGGAUAACGUAGCGAAAGCUACGCUAAUACCGCAUACGAUCUAUGGAUGAAAGCGGGGGAUCGCAAGACCUCGCGCGAUUGGAGCGGCCGAUAUCAGAUUAGGUAGUUGGUGAGGUAAAGGCUCGCCAAGCCGACGAUCUGUAGCUGGUCUGAGAGGACGACCAGCCACACUGGACUGAGACACGGCCCAGACUCCUACGGAGGCAGCAGUGGGGAAUUUUUGGGACAAAUGGGCGCAAGCCUGAUCCAGCAAUGCCGCGUGCAGGAUGAAGGCUCGG